rnacentral:rRNA from 1 species
UGGGGAAUAUUGCACAAUGGGCGCAAGCCUGAUGCAGCCAUGCCGCGUGUGUGAAGAAGGCCUUCGGGUUGUAAAGCACUUUCAGCGGGGAGGAAGGCGGUGAGGUUAAUAACCUCAUCGAUUGACGUUACCCGCAGAAGAAGCACCGGCUAACUCCGUGCCAGCAGCCGCGGUAAUACGGAGGGUGCAAGCGUUAAUCGGAAUUACUGGGCGUAAAGCGCACGCAGGCGGUCUGUCAAGUCGGAUGUGAAAUCCCCGGGCUCAACCUGGGAACUGCAUUCGAAACUGGCAGGCUAGAGUCUUGUAGAGGGGGGUAGAAUUCCAGGUGUAGCGGUGAAAUGCGUAGAGAUCUGGAGGAAUACCGGUUGCGAAGGCGGCCCCCUGGACAAAGAAUGACGCUCAGGUGCGAAAGCGUGGGGAGCAAACAGG